rnacentral:tRNA from 1 species
GGGCGUGUGGCCUAGUCUUGAUAGGGCAACGGCCUCCUAAGCCGUGGAUCAGGGGUUCAAAUCCCCUCACGUCCG